rnacentral:rRNA from 2 species
UUCCGCAUGGACGAAUUCUGACGGAGCAACGCCGCGUGAGUGACGAAGGCCUUCGGGUCGUAAAACUCUGUUAUCAGGGAAGAACAAGCAUCGUUUAACUGACGGUGCCAUGACGGUACCUGACCAGAAAGCCACGGCUAACUACGUGCCAGCAGCCGCGGUAAUACGUAGGUGGCAAGCGUUGUCCGGAAUUAUUGGGCGUAAAGCGCGCGCAGGCGGCUUCUUAAGUCUGAUGUGAAAGCCCACGGCUCAACCGUGGAGGGUCAUUGGAAACUGGGAGGCUUGAGUGCAGAAGAGGAGAGCGGAAUUCCACGUGUAGCGGUGAAAUGCGUAGAGAUGUGGAGGAACACCAGUGGCGAAGGCGGCUCUCUGGUCUGUAACUGACGCUGAGGCGCGAAAGCGUGGGUAGCGAACAGGAUUAUAUACCCUGGUANUCCACGCCGUAAACGAUGAGUGCUAAGUGUUAGGGGGUUUCCGCCCCUUAGUGCUGC